rnacentral:rRNA from 1 species
UUCGGUAAAGAGCGGCGGACGGGUGAGUAACGCGUGGGUAACCUACCCUGUACACACGGAUAACAUACCGAAAGGUAUGCUAAUACGGGAUAAUAUAUUUGGGAGGCAUCUCUUGAAUAUCAAAGGUGAGCCAGUACAGGAUGGACCCGCGUCUGAUUAGCUAGUUGGUAAGGUAACGGCUUACCAAGGCGACGAGCAGUAGCCGACCUGAGAGGGUGAUCGGCCACAUUGGAACUGAGACACGGUCCAAACUCCUACGGGAGGCAGCAGUGGGGAAUAUUGCACAAUGGGCGAAAGCCUGAUGCAGCAACGCCGCGUGAGUGAUGAAGGCCUUCGGG